ensembl:lncRNA
UGCUCAUUUCUCAUGCUCUCGCAGUCAGCUCCAUCAUCUGAGGAACAAUUCAAUUUUGGAUUUGUAUUCACCGAAUUGCUGGGUAACCCAGCGCGGGCACGGUGCUGAAUGAAGCUAUUGACUCAUAGACACUUGAAUGCCUCGACGCGCUACUGUAUCGAGCUAAUUCCACAGACGAUACUUGUUCAUAAGAUUCUUUAUGUGUGCUAGGAUGACGGUUUCAGGGCCUCCCCGUUCACCGCGAGUGUUUUUUUUCUUUCUGUGCUGCUUGUUCCUUGCGGCUCAUCUCCGAGAGCACAACCUGUGCCGGCUUCAAUAAACAGCCAGCGCACACAUCAACACCUCUAAGUCAGAGCAACAGUUUGAUCUAGAGGCGCUCCUGGGGUGAACCCAGAGGGUGAGCUCACCUGUGCUCUACGUGACGAACGAGUGGAGCACUCACGCUGGGAACCCGGCUGCAGUUAAACACAACGACCCGAUCCUUCCUCCAAACGGCUGAAGAAUCGCCAAUGGAAGAUGGGGAAACAGGCCAAACGCCGAAAGCUGAAUUGCUGUUGUGUUCACCGGAGAGAAUGACGCCAGCUUUCAGAGAAACGGGACGUGCGGCACGCGCUGUGGUGGCGACGUGUCAAAUCGCCCAGGCCGAUGCGGCACAGCUCCAAUCAGCCAGAAUGAACUCAUGAAUUCAUUUAAAACGUGGCAGCACGAGUCUCGCGCGCAAAUACUGGUAUUAAAGUUGCCGCAGCAGCCACCUUCCCACUUGAAGAGGCAGCAGGAGAAAACCAUUUGGAAAACUUGGACUUUGAUACCCAGACACCAUGUUAUAAAAUGUAAACUACACAAGGCACUCUGGCCUCUACCAGCCUUGCUCACCAGUGAUCAAAGGGACAUUGGAUGGGAUGGAUACAACAGCUAAAUCCAGCUUUUCCUGCUCAAAUAUCUUGUAAAGGAACUGCGUUCGGCCCCCAACUUCUUUUUGUUACUUGCUUUGGGUGGGAAAGAAAUCCUGUGAGUAAUCUUAAAAUACAUUACCAGGUCUUUGGCGCAUGUUGAAGAGUUUUCCACACCAUGUUUAUACUGUAUAUGGCAAUUCAUGAACAACACAUUUUUCUUGUGGGAAACUAUACAAGGUUAUUGCUGUCAGUCAUCCUUUUAGUCGCCGCCAGUUUCCUCGCAACACAAAGAGGCAGCAGCCGCCCCCGUGGCUCACGCGCCGCCGUGUUUGAAGCCUAAUGCGUCGGUGUUGACAUUUGCACAAUGACAAUCCUUACAUCUCAAGUUGCUAAUUGCACUGUAAACAACGAGCCGUCGGGGGAGAAGGAAGCCCGGGCGUGGAUCCCCGCCGGUUAAAGCGCAACCACAGAAAAGCAGGCUUUUCAUCGUCAGACAAAG